rnacentral:rRNA from 1 species
CAAGGAAUCUUCCGCAAUGGGGGCAACCCUGACGGAGCAACGCCGCGUGCGGGAUGACGCCUUUCGGGGUGUAAACCGCUUUUCUUCCGGAAGAACCUCCCGCGAGGGAGCUGACGGUACGGGAGGAAGAAGGACCGGCUAACUACGUGCCAGCAGCCGCGGUAAUACGUAGGGUCCGAGCGUUGUCCGGAGUUACUGGGCGUAAAGCGCGCGCAGGCGGCGGUGUUGGCCCGGCGUGAAAGCCCCCGGCUCAACCGGGGAGGGUCGUCGGGGACCGCACCGCUUGAGGGCGGUAGGGGCUGGUGGAAUGCCUGGUGUAGUGGUGAAAUGCGUAGAGAUCAGGCGGAACACCCGUGGCGAAGGCGGCCAGCUGGGCCGUCCCUGACGCUGAGGCGCGAAGGCGUGGGGAGCGAACGG